rnacentral:misc_RNA from 1 species
AACACUGUUAACCUGCGGUACCUGCGGAGGGAUCAUUACAGAGUUCGUGCCCUCGCGGGUAGAUCUCCCACCCUUGUGUAUUCUCUACAUCUUGUUGCUUUGGCAGGCCGUUGGUUCGCCAACCACCGGCUCGCGGGCUGGUGCGUGCCUGCCAGAGGACCUCUCAAACUCGGUUUGUCAGUGUCGUCUGAGUACCAUAACAAUCGUUAAAACUUUUAACAAUGGAUCUCAGAUCGGAAG